CAAGGAAUUUAGCCAUAGUUGACUUUGUCUGUUAGCAUUCCCUUACAGCCAGUUGGUCUGUGGUUCAUGUUUCGUUAGCUUAGUAUGCUACUUGUGUGUUACCUGACUUGAAUGCCAUGAUUUGUGAAAACAUAUAUAAAGAUGUAGCGGCAAACAUACUGAAUUGGUUCUUUAUAUCAAAAGCGGUAGGGAAUGUCUACUCCCAGCAAGGGACAUGCACAGCCACCACCGCCGCCUGUAUCUAGUAUUUCAGAAGAGUCCGACCGAGAUGGGUGUAUCUUAGAACUGCGUUUCUAAACCAGCCAUGCAGGACAUUGUAAGUUGUGACUGACUUAUUUAUCUUUUGAAUCAGGGACAAAGAAUUCGCUAUGCAAGGUGUUCAACCGUUGGGCAAAGAAACCGAAGCGGUUGGUGUGCUAGAAUCUAGCAUGCACUCCUUGAGCAUUGCUGAAGAGGAGCAGCAUGACUCUCUGGAUGAGGAGGCGGCGAAUUAUAUGAGGAAUAGCAUUAUUGACAUGGAUGAUUGCUGGGAGGAUCCUAAUCAGAAGGGCUUGGAAGAAGAUCGGGACAGCUCUGAUGAAGACUAUAGUCCUUUUCUUCAUCUACGUGCCCCAGCUAUGACUGCCAACAUAAACCAACUCCUGGAGAUAAGCAUGGAUAAAGCCGUGCUUGAUGUGGCAACACCCAAUCCUCCAGGUGAGGACAUACAAGAAACUCCAGAACAACAAAAAGUUUCAGGACAACUUCAGAUUUGGAGAAUUUCCAAAACCACAUACUCAUGUAUGCAGGAAAGCGGUUUGCCUACAGCCCCCCUGUUUACAAAACCCAGACAUUGCUUGCAGCAAUCGAUUACAACUAUCACAACCACCGCAUUCCUGCACGUGAUAAGGAUGGACACCGAAUGUACAGACAGUACUUCAACAAGAAGUCCGAGCGCUGGAGUGUAUAUGUGUUGAAGGAGAGCAAAGGCUACCAUUACAUUCCAGACCUGCAGAAGGCCAUCCUUGCUGAGAGGCUGGGAAGUGGAAUGGGCCUUCCCAGAAUACAGGGUCUAAGGCCUGAUGAUCCCAGGCGCUUGGGUUUGCUUGCCGCAACGCAGCCUCCAUCCACAUUUGAACUUGUCGCGGCUCAGGUUUCACGGGGAGAGGGUGGUGCCCAA
rnacentral:lncRNA from 1 species